rnacentral:rRNA from 1 species
UACGUAGGGUGCAAGCGUUAAUCGGAAUUACUGGGCGUAAAGCGUGCGCAGGCGGUUUUGUAAGCCAGAUGUGAAAUCCCCGGGCUUAACCUGGGAAUGGCAUUUGGGACUGCAAAGCUUGAGUGUGGCAGAGGGGACUGGAAUUCCUGGUGUAGCAGUGAAAUGCGUAGAGAUCAGGAGGAAUACCGAUGGCGAAGGCAGGUCCCUGGGCUGACACUGACGCUCAUGCACGAAGGCGUGGGGAGCAAACAGG